rnacentral:piRNA from 1 species
UCACACAUCGCCUUCCAUUUUGUUUGGGG